UACGUAGGAGGCAAGCGUUGUCCGGAAUCAUUGGGCGUAAAGAGCGUGUAGGCGGCCAGAUAAGUCCGCUGUGAAAUCUCGAGGCUCAACUUCGAGCUGUCGGUGGAAACUGUCUGGCUAGAGUCCGGAAGAGGAGAAUGGAAUUCCUGGUGUAGCGGUGAAAUGCGCAGAUAUCAGGAAGAACACCCGUGGCGAAGGCGGUUCUCUGGGACGGUACUGACGCUGAGACGCGGAAGCGUGGGGAGCGAACAGG
rnacentral:rRNA from 1 species